rnacentral:rRNA from 1 species
UACGGAGGGUGCAAGCGUUGUUCGGAAUUAUUGGGCGUAAAGCGCGUGUAGGCGGCUAUUUAAGUCUGAUGUGAAAGCCCGGGGCUCAACCUCGGAAGUGCAUUGGAAACUGGAUACCUGGAGUGUAGACGAAGUGGGCGGAAUGUGGGGUGUAGCGGUGAAAUGCAUAGAUAUUCGAAGGAACACCGGUGGCGAAGGCGGCUACCUGGACCGAUACUGACGCUGAGACGCGAAAGCGUGGGGAGCAAACCGG